GACGGAGGAUGCAAGUGUUAUCCGGAAUCACUGGGCGUAAAGCGUCUGUAGGUGGUUCAAUAAGUCAACUGUUAAAUCUUGAGGCUCAACCUCAAAAUCGCAGUCGAAACUAUUAAACUAGAGUAUAGUAGGGGUAAAGGGAAUUUCCAGUGGAGCGGUGAAAUGCGUAGAGAUUGGAAAGAACACCGAUGGCGAAGGCACUUUACUGGGCUAUUACUAACACUGAGAGACGAAAGCUAGGGUAGCAAA
rnacentral:rRNA from 1 species